rnacentral:rRNA from 1 species
UACGGAGGGAGCUAGCGUUGUUCGGAAUUACUGGGCGUAAAGCGCACGUAGGCGGCUUUGUAAGUUAGAGGUGAAAGCCCGGAGCUCAACUCCGGAACUGCCUUUAAGACUGCAUCGCUUGAAUCCAGGAGAGGUGAGUGGAAUUCCGAGUGUAGAGGUGAAAUUCGUAGAUAUCGGGAGGAACACCAGUGGCGAAGGCGACUACCUGGCCUGUUCUUGACGCUGAGGCGCGAAAGCUAGGGGAGCAAACGGG